rnacentral:rRNA from 1 species
GAUGAACGCUGGCGGCGUGCCUAAUACAUGCAAGUCGAGCGAACGGACGAGAAGCUUGCUUCUCUGAUGUUAGCGGCGGACGGGUGAGUAACACGUGGAUAACCUACCUAUAAGACUAGGAUAACUUCGGGAAACCGGAGCUAAUACCGGAUAAUAUUUUGAACCGCAUGGUUCAAAAGUGAAAGACGGUCUUGCUGUCACUUAUAGAUGGAUCCGCGCUGCAUUAGCUAGUUGGUAAGGUAACGGCUUACCAAGGCAACGAUGCAUAGCCGACCUGAGAGGGUGAUCGGCCGCACUGGAACUGAGACACGGUCCAGACUCCUACGGGAGGCAGCAGUAGGGAAUCUUCCGCAAUGGGCGAAAGCCUGACGGAGCAACGCCGCGUGAGUGAUGAAGGUCUUCGGAUCGUAAAACUCUGUUAUUAGGGAAGAACAUAUGUGUAAGUAACUGUGCACAUCUUGACGGUACCUAAUCAGAAAGCCACGGCUAACUACGUG